AGUGAACGCUGGCGGCGUGCUUAACACAUGCAAGUCGAACGAGAACGGAAUAUAGCUUGCUAUAUUUGUCAGCUAAGUGGCGCACGGGUGAGUAAUGUAUAGAUAACCUGCCCUUAAGAAAGGAAUAACAGUUGGAAACGACUGCUAAUGCCCUAUAUGCCUUUAAUACAUAAGUAUGCAAGGGAAACGCUUUAGUGCUUAAGGAUGGGUCUUUAUGGUAUCAGCUUGUUGGUGAGGUAAUGGCUCACCAAGGCUAUGACGCCUAACUGGUUUGAGAGGAUGAUCAGUCACACUGGAACUUAGACACGGUCCAGACUCCUAAGGGAGGCAUCAGUGGGGAAUAUUGCACAAUGGACGAAAGUCUGAUGCAGCAACGCCGCGUGGAGGAUGACACAUUUCGGUGCGUAAACUCCUUUUAUAUAGGAAGAUAAUGACGGUACUAUAUGAAUAAGCACCGGCUAACUCCGUGCCAGCAGCCGCCGUAAUAC
rnacentral:rRNA from 1 species